GCCAAAUCGAGUGAUUCAAAGUUCCGCGGAUAGGUAUUGAAAAGAUCUACAACUUGCUGUUGGUUUCACCCUCAAAUUCGUUACAUAUUUGCCUCGAUCAAGAUCUGGUCAGAUCUGACUUGGUCGAAUUAAAUCAGGAGCUUGGGAACGAAUUUUUGAAUGAAACAAACUGGGGGAUACUUAGUUGUGCCAUGGUGAUACCGAGAGAGGCAAUUGCUAAGUUAUGAUACUCUCAUACCUUUACUAGAUGCGAACGAUUCCGGAGAAGAAGAAGAAGUGGUUCGGACAAGGAUUUUAUUUAUAUUGACGGGAUUCUUAUAUUGAUGAAGUUGAAGAAGUCCAGGGACAAAUAAGCCAAGGCAAGCCAUCUUUUGAUCUCUGAUAUGAUGUCUCUUUGGAUGUCAUCUUGUGCUAUCAAUAGCAUCUUGGUUCUAUGUGUGAUGAUCUCCAUAUUGUUGUCAUCUAUGCUUGGAUGCAAGCAUGGUACCUCUAGUAGUUUUAUCUUGUCAAGGUCUUGGUAAUUGGUUGGGUGUAUGGUAUCAUGGCCAUUGCUAUCCAACUUGCUUUCUAUAUUUAGCUUGAAUAUGUUCCACCUCGGGACAAGAUUCAUACUACACCCCCUUCUAGUGUAGAUGUAUCAAUACCAUGUUUUUGGUGUAUUCUCAAAUUGUGAUGAGUAUGCCUGUUUUCCCUUAAUGGUGUUGGUGUUGGUCAAUUCUCAUCCCUAUCUAUCUAUUGAUUGGGUUAGAUAGCACCACAAAUCUGAAAGUAUAUUUCCUCUUGUGUUGUCAUAAUACAUGCUUAGCUCAAGCAAGUAUGAUCCACUCCAAUACCUCUUUUUCAUACCCUCAAUGGCGUGAUGACCCUCAUCUCGGCCAUAGUGUUGUAUUAGUUCAACUCAUGAAACUUUAGAUUGGGAACCCCUCAAGGUUUACCUUGUUGUAAAUGUUUAUGAAAACCUUGGGUGAGGCAAUCUUACCCAAGCGUAUGGUUUAUGAAAGGAAAGGAUCUUGACAAAGAUGGUUGGAAAGAGGAAGGUGUGUGUGACUUGGGUUUUUGAGAAAAACGACACAUGGUUCUUUGUAUUCGCCCGGAACAACUAAACAGCGCAACCAUAGCUACUCCAACGUGGGCACGGGGCUUAACUUGACGUUUGUUCUUCUUAGCAUGAGGCACCGCACAACUAUACAAGGGUACGAUUACCCCCG